ACUGCUCAGUAACACGUGGCUAACCUGCCCUUGGGACGGGAACAACCCCGGGAAACUGGGGCUAAUUCUCGAUAGGUGAAGAACACUGGAAUGUGUCUUUGCCCAAAGGACGUCGGAUCAUGCUUCUGGCGUUGCCCAAGGAUGGGGCCGCGGCCGAUCAGGUUGUUGGUGAGGUAAUGGCCCACCAAGCCUAUAACCGGUGCGGGCCGUGAGAGCGGGAGCCCGGAGAUGGGCACUGAGACAAGGGCCCAGGUCCUACGGGGCGCAGCAGUCGCGAAACCUUUGCAAUACACGCAAGUGUGACAGGGUCAUCCCGAGUGCCGACCGCUGAGGUUGGCUUUUACCCAGUAUAGAAAGCUGGGGGAAUAAGGAGAGGGCAAGUCUGGUGUCAGCCGCCGCGGUAAUACCAGCUCUCCGAGUGGUGUGGACGUUUAUUGGGCCUAAAGCAUCCGUAGCUGGCUGAGCAAGUCCCCUGUUAAACCCACCGAUUUAAUCGUUGGUCUGCGGGGGAAACUGUUCGGCUAGGGGACGAGAGAGGCAGACGGUAUUCCCGGGGUAGGGGUGAAAUCCUAUAAUCCCGAGAAGACCACCAGUGGCGAAGGCUGUCUGCUAGAACGCGCCCGACGGUGAGGGAUGAAAGCUGGGGGAGCGAACCGGAUUAGAUACCCGGGUAGUCCCAGCUGUAAACGAUGCAGGCUAGGUGUUUGGACGGCCAUGUGCCGUUCUAGUGCCGCAGGGAAGCUGUUAAGCCUGCCGCCUGGGGAGUACGAUCGCAAGAUUGAAACUUAAAGGAAUUGGCGGGGGAGCAC
rnacentral:rRNA from 1 species